rnacentral:piRNA from 1 species
UCCAUGUGUGGAUUCAGGAAGC